rnacentral:rRNA from 1 species
UGGGGAAUAUUGCACAAUGGGCGAAAGCCUGAUGCAGCAACGCCGCGUGAGUGAUGAAGGCCUUCGGGUUGUAAAGCUCUGUCUUUUGGGACGAUAAUGACGGUACCAAAGGAGGAAGACACGGCUAACUACGUGCCAGCAGCCGCGGUAAUACGUAGGUGGCAAGCGUUGUCCGGAUUUACUGGGCGUAAAGGAUGCGUAGGCGGAUUUUUAAGUGAGAUGUGAAAUACCCGGGCUUAACUUGGGUGCUGCAUUUCAAACUGGGAAUCUAGAGUGCGGGAGAGGAGAAUGGAAUUCCUAGUGUAGCGGUGAAAUGCGUAGAGAUUAGGAAGAACACCAGUGGCGAAGGCGAUUCUCUGGACCGUAACUGACGCUGAGGCAUGAAAGCGUGGGUAGCAAACAGGAUUAGAUACCCUGGUAGUCCACGCCGUAAACGAUGAGUACUAGGUGUAGGAGGUAUCGACCCCUUCUGUGCCGCAGUUAACACAAUAAGUACUCCGCCUGGGAAGUACGAUCGCAAGAUUAAAACUCAAAGGAAUUGACGGGGUC